rnacentral:misc_RNA from 1 species
CACAAUAAAAUAUGAAGGCUGUACGCGGCUGUGCUCUCGGGCCAGUUUGCGGAGGCUGAAUUAUUUAUUACCCUUGUCUUUUGCGCACUUGUUGUUUCCUGGGCGGGUUCGCCCGCCACCAGGACCACAUCAUAAACCUUUUUAUGCAGUUGCAAUCAGCGUCAGUAUAACAAAUGUAAAUCAUUUA